AGUCUGACGGAGCAACGCCGCGUGAACGAUGAAGGUCUUCGGAUCGUAAAGUUCUGUUGUUAGGGAAGAACAAGUACCGUGCGAAUAGAGCGGUACCUUGACGGUACCUAACGAGGAAGCCCCGGCUAACUACGUGCCAGCAGCCGCGGUAAUACGUAGGGGGCAAGGUUGUCCGGAAUUAUUGGGCGUAAAGCGCGCGCAGGCGGUUCCUUAAGUCUGAUGUGAAAGCCCACGGCUCAACCGUGGAGGGUCAUUGGAAACUGGGGAACUUGAGGACAGAAGAGGAGAGUGGAAUUCCACGUGUAGCGGGAAAUGCGUAGAUAUGUGGAGGAACACCAGUGGCGAAGGCGACUCUCUGGUCUGUUUCUGACGCUGAGGUGCGAAAGCGUGGGUAGCAAAAGGAUUAGAUACCCUGGUAGUCCACGCCGUAAACGAUGAGUGCUAGGUGUUAGGGGGCUUCCACCCCUUAGUGCUGAAGUUAACGCAUUAAGCACUCCGCCUGGGGAGUACGGCCGCAAGGCUGAAACUCAAAGGAAUUGACGGGGGCCCGCACAAGCGGUGGAGCAUGUGGUUUAAUUCGAAGCAACGCGAAGAACCUACCAGGUCUUGACAUCCUUGGACAUCCCUAGAGAUAGGGCUUUCCCUUCGGGGACCAAGUGACAGGUGGUGCAUGGUUGUCGUCAGCUCGUGUCGUGAGAUGUUGGGUUAAGUCCCGCAACGAGCGCAACCCCUAAUCUUAGUUGCCAGCAUUCAGUUGGGCACUCUAAGGUGACUGCCGGUGACAAACCGGAGGAAGGCGGGGAUGACGUCAAAUCAUCAUGCCCCUUAUGACCUGGCUACACACGUGCUACAAUGGAUGGUACAAAGGGCAGCGAAGCCGCGAGGUGUAGCAAAUCCCAUAAAACCAUUCUCAGUUCGGAUUGCAGGCUGCAACUCGCCUGCAUGAAGCCGGAAUCGCUAGUAAUCGCGGAUCAGCAUGCCCGGUGAAUACGUUCCCGGGCCUUGUACACACCGCCCGUCACACCACGAGAGUUGGCAACACCCGAAGUCGGUGAGGUAACCU
rnacentral:rRNA from 1 species